CGUGUAGGCGGCUUGAUAAGUCAGAUGUGAAAGCCCUGGGCUCAACCCAGGAAGUGCAUUUGAAACUGUCCUGCUUGAGUAAGGGAAAGGGAAGUGGAAUUCCUGGUGUAGAGGUGAAAUUCGUAGAUAUCAGGAGGAACACCGGUGGCGAAGGCGACUUCCUGGCCCUAUACUGACGCUGAGACGCGAGAGCGUGGGGAGCAAACAGGAUUAGAUACCCUGGUAGUCCACGCCCUAAACGGUGGGCACUAGGUGUAGGGCUCGUAAGGGGUUCUGUGCCGAAGGGAACCAUUAAGUGCCCCGCCUGGGGAGUACGGCCGCAAGGUUGAA
rnacentral:rRNA from 1 species